rnacentral:miRNA from 1 species
CCUCCCUUUCUCGGACGUCGCCG